AGUAUGAAGGAGCGACAGAUGUGGAUGGAAGAAAACCCAGUAUAUGGGAUACCUUCACUAAGGAUCAUCCAGAAAAAAUAGCAGAUAACAGCUCUGGAAAAAUCGCAGAUGAAUUCUAUUAUAGAUACAAGAGUGACAUCAAGCGACUGAAAGAAA